rnacentral:rRNA from 1 species
AGAGUUUGAUCCUGGCUCAGGAUGAACGCUAGCGGCAGGCUUAACACAUGCAAGUCGAGGGGCAGCAUGUCCAGCAAUGGAUGAUGGCGACCGGCGUAAGGGUGCGUAACGCGUGAGCAACAUGCCCUAUACAGGAGGAUACUCCGGGGAAACCCGGUCUAAUACUCCAUAGUAUUAUUGAGAGGCAUCUCUUAAUAAUUAAAGCUUCGGUGGUAUAGGAUUGGCUCGCGUGACAUUAGCCAGAUGGUGAGGUAACGGCUCACCAUAGCAACGAUGUCUAGGGGUUUUGAGAGGAAGGCCCCCCACACUGGGACUGAGACACGGCCCAGACUCCUACGGGGGGCAGCAGUGAGGAAUAUUGGACAAUGGAUGGAAAUCUGAUCCAGUCAUGCCGCGUGCAGGAAGACUGCCUUAUGGGUUGUAAACUGCUUUUAUACGGGAGCAAUAAGGGUUACGUGUAACCUGAUGAGAGUACUGUAUGAAUAAGGAUCGGCUAACUCCGUGCCAGCAGCCGCGGUAAUACGGAGGAUCCGAGCGUUAUCCGGAAUUAUUGGGUUUAAAGGGUGCGUAGGCGGCUAUUUAAGUCAGCGGUGAAAUUUCGCAGCUUAACUGUAACAGUGCCGUUGAAACUGUUUAGCUAGGAUUUGGUUGCAGUGUGCGGAAUGUGUGGUGUAGCGGUGAAAUGCUUAGAUAUCACACAGAACACCAAUUGCGAAGGCAGCACACUAAGUCAAUAUUGACGCUGAGGCACGAAAGUGUGGGGAUCAAACAGGAUUA